rnacentral:lncRNA from 1 species
AUGACAUGUUUACACAGUCAUGGCCCUCACUUAGAAUUUACCCAGAUGUGCUUUUUUUCUCAAUUAUGAGUUUUUGCCACUGGGAUUUUUGACCUGGCCCAAGUUCACUGGGUGGACUGGUAAUCCAAGACCCUGGUCCAAAGAGGGGAAAUAGAUUUUAUUCCCAUUUUUGAUUAUAUGUGUUUACGUUGUGAAUUAUAAUAAUAAUAUUCCCGUUGUUGGGAAUAAUACACUUUGCCUGUUUUGAUCCAAGGCUCAAGUUGCAGAUAACAUGAUGUGCAGUUAAGAUGUCAGCUGUUUGAAAUAUUUAACUUGUACACUUAAAAGAUGUGUACAACAGAUGAUUACAGAAGCUGAAAAUCGACAGCUCGAUCUCCUCUUAAAGGGAAAACCUACGGCAUAGAGCAAAUGGGGGAAAUCGAGGUGAAGAAAUAAGGAAAGUCCCGCAGACGUGAUUAGCACGUCUGAAUAUACCUCCUUUUGUUUCUCUGCCGCAGGCCUCCCAUGGAUAUUCCAUAAGGUAGAUCAUGAUAUGAUCUAAGAGGGGAAUUGUAGAUGCGAAUAUCCAUUUUGCUCUAUAUCCUAACUGUUCAUGUAAGGGUUAAUUUGAAUCAAGAAUAAAUUUGGAAUUGUAUCUCCAAUUCUCAGAAAUGUUAUUGAAACAUGAUUUUGUUAUGUUCCUGGAAAAAAGAUAUUUGCAU